UGCGGUUGUGCUGUGUAUUGUAGUUGGUGGUGAAGCAGUCUGAAGUAAAAGACAAAUGGCGAGAGGGAGAAGACAAAAUCGAUACAUGAAGAAACUGCAGAGACGGCAAAAAAACUCUGGGACGAAUAUGCAAGACUUGGACUGAAAGGAGACAUUUUCUCUGCUGACAGGUACCAUGAAAGAACCAACUAUACCAAAGGAAACUUUCAGCUCAACCAUCAGCAGAAUAGAGAGGACUUUUUUAAAGCCAUGAACAGAGGUUGUGGAUCAUGAUCAUCGUUGACAACACAAACAUUUCUCUUUGGGAGAUGUGGCCCUAUAUCCACAUGGGGAUUGGACAGAAGAACUAUUACAUCAUAAUGGUGGAACUGCCUAAAGGCAGGGGAUUGGACAGAAGAACUAUUACAUCAUAAUGGUGGAACUGCCUAAAGGCAGGGGAUUGGACAGAAGAACUAUUACAUCAUAAUGGUGGAACUGCCUAAAGGCAGGGGAUUGGACAGAAGAACUAUUACAUCAUAAUGGUCCACAAGCGUAAGUGUUAUCUCCCUGUAGACGGUGUCGUGGUAACAUCCACAAGCGUAAGUGUUAUCUCCCUGUAGACGGUGUCGUGGUAACAUCCACAAGCGUAAGUGUUAUCUCCCUGUAGACGGUGUCGUG